GAUGAACGCUAGCGGCAGGCUUAACACAUGCAAGUCGAGGGGUACAGGUUUUCGGACCUGGAGACCGGCGCACGGGUGCGUAACGCGUAUGCAAUCUACCUUUUACAGAGGGAUAGCCCAGAGAAAUUUGGAUUAAUACCUCAUAGUAUAGUUGACUGGCAUCAUUUAACUAUUAAAGUUCCAACGGUAAAAGAUGAGCAUGCGUCCCAUUAGCUAGAUGGUAAGGUAACGGCUUACCAUGGCAAACGUUGGGUAGGGGUCCUGAGAGGGAGAUCCCCCACACUGGUACUGAGACACGGACCAGACUCCUACGGGAGGCAG
rnacentral:rRNA from 1 species